GAAAACCAACCAAACCAAACCCAAACCAACAAAACCCUUCACCUAAAACCCGAAGCUACCCAGACCUCAGAAUUUUGGAUGUCUAUUAAGUUGGCGGUCCCCAGCAGUUCUUUAUAGAAGUGUGAAAACAGACUAAUACAAUCCUGAAGCAUUUCAUCAAAGAAUUGUAACAGGAGAUGAAAUAUGGCUUCACCAGUAUGAUCCUGAAGAAAAAGCACAAUCAAAGCAAUGUCUAUCAAGCGGAGGAAGUCAAAGCAAAGCAGACCAGUCAAGAGCAAAGGUUGGAGUGGCUCUGGUGACAACUCACUCUGUUCUCAUGGUCACAAAUCCCUGCUCACUGCUGCCACUGCUGCUGCCACCACAGACCAAGAGCUCCACUUGCACAGUGCUGCUGGCUAAGAAGAAGUUGCUGUACCUGAGCACUGGACCACAUGGACUCACAGAGACUCCCAACCAAGUAAAGGGGUGAUAUGGCUUGUGGAUGUCAACCAUAUUCUCUUCUUGAUCACCUCGCUGCUGGAACAAUGGGCCAUGGUCAGAGUAGAGUGGUCAUGGAGGUUGAAUAGAUGCCAUGAAUGGGUCCAAGAACAUGGACACUCUCUUUCACCAAAAUCAAUUCGGGUCUUGCCACUGUUAAUCACCUAACUUGCCAACAGCAGAGACUAUCGCUGAGUCUUUGAGAUGGCACUGCUCUUGGAGAGAUCAGGCAGCCAUCCAGUGAGAGGUUGACCCCUCUGCUUUGGAGGGGAUGGACAUUCAUCCUUAUCACCAUUGAUACUUGCUCUAGACAUGAGUUUUCCUUCUCUGCCUGAAAUUCCUCUGCCACUACCACCAUAUGAGGGCUUACAGAUUUCCCAAUCCAUCAACCUGCUUCUCACACACAUUAGCUCAGAGUAAAGGACUCAUUUUAUGGCAAAGAAUGUAAAAUGAUGGGCUCAUUGGUCUUAUUAUAUACCAUGCCACCCAGAAGCAGUCAACCUAGUGGAAUGAUGAGCUGGCCUGUUGAAAGCUCAGCUAAGGUGCCAGCUCAGAGAUGACACCCUGUAGGGUUGGAAGUUGGAGCACUGCUUUCCAGGAUGUGAUACAUAUGCUGAAUCAAUACCAAUCUAUGGUUCAGUGUCCCCACAUAACUAGAAUAUAUGAGUCCAGGAACCAAGGGAUAGAAGUAGAAUUGAUCCCUUCAGUUAUCACUCCCAGGGACUUACUUGUGGAAUUUGUAUCUUACUGUUCCUGCAAACUUAAAUUCUGCCAGUUUAGAGGUCUAAGUUUCCAGGAAGUAAAUGCUUUCUCCAGUGGAGGUGGGAAAGGCUCCAGUGAACUGGAAGUUGUGACUAUCACUCAGCUGUUUGGGGCUCCUCAUAACAGUGGACCAGCAGGCAAAGGAAAGAGUUGCCUUAUGGCUAGAAUAAUUGGCCUUGAUUACCAUGAGAAGCUAGGGUUGCUGCAAUGCAAUGGGAGAAGAUAAGAGUAUGACUGCAACCCACGGGAUUUGCUGGAAGUAUCCCCCAUACUUUUGUGCUCACUGAUGAUUGUAAAUGGGCAGUUACAACAACCCAAACCUAACAAAUGCAAAGCAUCUAACAACUCAGUCCCCUCGGGGUAGAGGUCUGGGUCACUCCAUCAGACUACAGCACAGACUUACUGAACUGCUAGAUGGUUGUUGGGGGACACCUAGAGUGGGUGGUGGAAGUGAGAUGCAAAAUAUCAAUUAGGACUCUGGGAUCAGCUGUGGCAGUGGAGAUUUUCAGGAGAUUGCAAUUGGCCAUUGACACCAAUUGCCAGGAAAGACUGCUCACUAACCUGAGGGAACCUGUAGGGCUUAGCUUCUCUGGUAGCUUCCUGAAUGGGCUGAGUGACGCGACCUGGAAAUGGAAGGAUGCUUUGUUCCCAUGCAGAAAACCCUGAGCAAUGGAAUUCUGAAGAUGGUUAUAUGUGCUUAUCCACUGGUGGAGCCAUGAGUAGUGCUGCGUCCUCAAUAGUUAGAAUACAUGGAUGGGGCUUGGAGCCAGCAUAAAGACAAAAUCAGAAUAGCUAUUAAUCCCAUCCUGUAGACAUAACCCCCAUAAUUAUUUUGAUGUAAUUACUUCCAAUUUUUUCCUGUGCAUAUAUAAAAUAUAUAGCUACAAAAGUGAGAUUCUACUAUAGGAAGAUUUUCAUAUUGCUUUGUAAAAGCAUUACAUUAUAUUGAAUAUAUUGAAUUUUCUUGAAUUUUUCCAUACUAAAUGUUUUUAACACAAAUUUUCAUGAAUUCAGAAUAUUCAGUCAUACAAGUUUAUCAUAGAAGCUUUUCUCCAUGUCUGGGAUUCCAGAUUUUUGUUAUUGAAAAUGCUGAGAUUCAAACUAUCACAAGGACAAAAAACCAAACACCGCAUGUUCUCACUCAUAGGUGGGAAUUGAACAAUGAGAACACAUGAACACAGGAAGGGGAACAUCACACACCAGGGCCUGUUGUGGGGUUGGGGGGGGGUAGGGAUACCAUUAGGAGAUAUACCUAAUGUUAAAUGAAGAGUUAAUGGGUGCAGCACACCAACAUGGCACAUGUAUACGUAUGUAACAAACCUGCACGUUGUGCACAUGUACCCUAAUACUUAAAGUAUGAUAAAAAAAAAAGAUAACCAAGAAAAGAAUGUUGAAUUUAUAGACAGCAAUUGUCCUUUUUGUAGAAAAAUAUUGAGCUCCUGUAUUUCAGGUUAAAAUGCAUGUCAAUUUUUC
rnacentral:lncRNA from 1 species